rnacentral:rRNA from 1 species
UACGGGGGGGGCAAGCGUUGUUCGGAAUUACUGGGCGUAAAGGGCGCGUAGGCGGCCUGCUAAGUCGGACGUGAAAUCCCCAGGCUCAACCCGGGAACUGCGUCCGAUACUGACAGGCUUGAAUCCGGGAGAGGGAUGUGGAAUUCCAGGUGUAGCGGUGAAAUGCGUAGAUAUCUGGAGGAACACCGGUGGCGAAGGCGGCAUCCUGGACCGGUAUUGACGCUGAUGCGCGAAAGCCAGGGGAGCAAACGGG